rnacentral:rRNA from 1 species
AGUGAACGCUGGCGGCAGGCCUAACACAUGCAAGUCGAGCGGCAGCGGGCUGUAGCAAUACAGUGCCGGCGAGCGGCGGACGGGUGAGGAAUACAUCGGAAUCUACCUUGUCGUGGGGGAUAACGUAGGGAAACUUACGCUAAUACCGCAUACGAACUACGGUUGAAAGCGGAGGACCGCAAGGCUUCGCGCGAUUGGAUGAGCCGAUGUCGGAUUAGCUAGUUGGCGGGGUAAUGGCCCACCAAGGCGACGAUCCGUAGCUGGUCUGAGAGGAUGAUCAGCCACACUGGAACUGAGACACGGUCCAGACUCCUACGGGAGGCAGCAGUGGGGAAUAUUGGACAAUGGGCGAAAGCCUGACGCAGCGACGCCGCGUGGGUGAUGAAGGCC